CCGAGUCUGGGGAGCGAUACGGCGGUCGGCGGCGGCUCAUCGCUGUUGUCCGUCCGGCGCAGCAGAGCGAGAGGGAGGUGGCAGCGCCCUCGCCGUUGCCAAGGAGGGAGGCGGACGAGGGGUGGUGUCUGGGCAUGAGCUCAUAGUUGGUGUGUGCGUGAGAUGAGAGGGAGAGAGAUGAAAUGGGGGUGGACGGCGGCUGGACAGCGGGGCUGUUCAGUGGAGGGAGGCAGGGCACGGCGGCUGUGCCGCUGCUGCCCGGCCACGGUUGGAGAGAAGGAGGUGGGCUGGUCGGAGCUGGUCUGGGUGGAGGGUUGAGCGGAGAACGACGGCGGCGGUGGUGGCAGUUUGGUGGCUGCUACUCGCUGGGAAUUUGAGGGCGGCGAUGGCGGUACCAUCGGCCAAAGUUGAGCCGAGGAGAGGGAGGAGCGUCGGCGGCGGCUCAGCUGCUGCCGAUCAGACCCAGGAGAGAGAGAGAUGGGAAUCGGAGUCACCGGUCGGCGGCGGCUUUUGCUGCUGCAGUCGCCGGAAGGAAAGAGAAUGGAGGGGUCGAGGGUGAUGGUGAGGAUGACAGAGCGGCGCUCGUCGCCGGAGGGUGGUACGCGGCCGUGAAGUCCGAGAGAGAGGGAGAAGAGGAGGGGCGUCGAGAGAGGGGCGGCGUGUGUUGGUUUGUGUGUGUGGGGGCAACCUUGAGUGAAAUAAAGUCGAGGGAGUCGGGAGAGGGGUGACCGGCGACGCCUACCGCCGGAGGAGAGAAGAGGGCGAAGGGGGGUGCCUUGCAGCGCAGCUGCUGUGUGCUGUGUGCUGUGUG
rnacentral:lncRNA from 1 species